CAGCCUGCCCGGGACUGCUGACGUGCGCGCCAUCGCUCCUACGACGAGGCAAGAAAACACAGGGAACUUGUGGCUUGAGUUGGCGACCCACGCACACUUUCAGGCAAUGCUGGGGGUGAAAGUGGCGGCGGUGUUGGCGGUGGUCUACCUGGCGGCCUGCACGCGGGGAGCAGACCACUUGACUGCUCCGCCUGCCCUCGGCUCGGCGGACACCUCGCAGCUCGGCGGCGCUGAGACCGAGACGGUACCUAACCACCCGGAGGUGCCAAUAGUUGCAACGACUACGGACAACAACCAGGUCGAGCAAGUUAAAGAAAACAUUGCCUAAGGGUUUUACAACCCGCCACUUCUCUACGCACCAUACACACUAGUG